AUCCUUAUGCACGGGAAAUACGCAUAUCAGUGAGGAUUCGUCCGAGAUUGUGUUUUUGCUGGUUGAAAUUUUUUUUAACCAUGACCUUCUCCUCAUAGUGUAUUGUGUCUUUUAUAUUACACAUGUGCUAUGUAGGGAAUUUUUGGGAACUGUUUAUUACAUAUCUCUGCGGCAG
rnacentral:snRNA from 1 species